rnacentral:misc_RNA from 1 species
GAUGAAGAACGCAGCGAAAUGCGAUAAGUAAUGUGAAUUGCAGAAUUCAGUGAAUCAUCGAAUCUUUGAACGCACCUUGCGCCCUUUGGCUAUUCCGAAGGGCAUGCCUGUUUGAGUAUCAUGAAAACCUCAACUCUCAUGGCUUGCCAUGAUGAGCUUGGACUCUGGGGGUCUUGCUGGCUUUACGGUCAGCUCCUCUCAAAUAAAUCAGCUUGCCGGUGUUUGGUGGGAUCACAGGUGUGAUAACUAUCUACGCUUGUGGUUUUCCGCCAGGUAACCUUCAGCAAUGGAGGUUCGCUGGAGCUCAUAAAUGUAUCUCCUCAGCGAGGACAGAUUUUGACCGUUUGAUCUCAAAUCAGGUAGGACUACCCGCUGAACUUAAGCAUAUCAAUAAGCGGAGGA